AAGCUUUUUGCUCGAAUUAUGU
rnacentral:miRNA from 3 species